rnacentral:rRNA from 1 species
CUUUGAUCCGAAGAUUUCCGAAUGAGGAAACUCACUUAGAGUAAUGUCUAAGUAUCAUUAAGUGAAUACAUAGCUUAAUGAGGGGAACUCAGGGAACUGAAACAUCUAAGUACCUGAAGGAAGAGAAAGAAAUUCGAUUCCGUAAGUAGCGGCGAGCGAACGCGGAUUAGCCCAAACCAAUAAAGUUUUCUUUAUUGGGGUUGUGGACAUAUCAUAACGAAGAGGUAUCGUAAUUGAAGAGGUUUGGAAAGACCCACCACAGAAGGUAAUAGUCCUGUAUGUUAAACGAGAAGAC